UGGGGAAUAUUGGACAAUGGGGGCAACCCUGAUCCAGCCAUGCCGCGUGUGUGAAGAAGGCCCUCGGGUUGUAAAGCACUUUAAGCAGUGAGGAAGGCUGUAAGGUUAAUACCCUUGCAGAUUGACGUUAACUGCAGAAUAAGCACCGGCUAACUCCGUGCCAGCAGCCGCGGUAAUGCGGAGGGGGCAAGCGUUAAUCGGAAUUACUGGGCGUAAAGCGCGCGUAGGCGGUUUGUUAAGUGAGUUGUGAAAGCCGAGGGCUCAACCUUGGAACUGCAUACCAUACUGGCAGGCUAGAGUACGGUAGAGGGGGGUAGAAUUCCACGUGUAGCGGUGAAAUGCGUAGAGAUGUGGAGGAAUACCAGUGGCGAAGGCGGCCCCCUGGAUCGAUACUGACGCUGAGGUGCGAAAGCGUGGGGAGCAAACAGGAUUAGAUACCCGCGUAGUCC
rnacentral:rRNA from 1 species